GUACAAGUAGGGAGUACUACUGUUACGCGUAUUCCAGAACCAUUCAUUCACAAAUCAUCUGAUGUCGAGUGUCUCUUACUUAUUCCAAUUUAUGUUUUCUUCUCAAUAUUUUUUUCCAAAUCUUCCUUUUGCUCAUUUUUUCAGUUUCAGUUCAGAAAAAAAUUGAUAAAAGAGCAGUUUUCGAUUCUUCUAAUACAAUAUAAUUUUUCAUUUGCAAAUGAGAGCGAACAAUCGAAAAGUAUAAAAGUGGGGCUUUCGGAGUUCAAGCAGAAGAUAAUGACAAGGACAACAAAGAAGAAGUUUUUGUGAUAUGUGAAUGCCUUAUAUCGAGAGCUUACAAUUUGUGGGGACAAUCAGUGGGGAUCAAAUCGCCAAUCCUUCAUCGGUUUAAUGAUUUUUGACAAAGCAACAAAUGUUGUUAGGUUGUUAGAGGAUGUACGUGUCCUCUUCCUCUAAGGUAUUCUUCCUAAUUCCAUUCCAUUGCUCAGUUUGGAAUGAUCUGGAUGAGUAGUUGUAGGAGAAAAAAGGGAUUGAUUAGAGAUCUUGCAUAAGAGGCAGCUGAGAAGGAGAUCUCUUCUUUCAAAGUUUGACAUGUCAGCUUGGUAAGGUGAUUCAUUUGGUAGCCUUUUUCUCCUCUGUCUUCUUGUGUUUUCAUUUAAGAAAAGAUGUCUUUAUUUCUUGAUUUUGUAUCGAAACCAAUAGAAUGCAUUAUUCCAGUCAUAUUGGGAUAAACACAGGAGAUAGAGAGAAAGAUAGUCAAGUAAUCAAGUCCAUGAACAAAAUUGUGUAUCCCUCUGGUUAAUUGUUUACUAGCUACAAUGUAUCUCUAUAUCUGGUAUUCGCUUGUUCAGUUGGAGUUGUAACAUUGCCCAAUUCUCCAUCAUUUUGUGUGGGCCUCCAUUUCAGACUGGUUAUAAGUUGUUUGUGACCAAUAUAAAAGCAUUGGCCUGUUGUGCCCCAAACUUACGGUGUAUCAGAAAGUAUACUUUUAUGCCGACCAUCAGAAAUAUAUGAAGAUGAAGUAGAGCAGAAACUGUGGCCUUACUGUUCCCAGAUGAUACAUGGUGUCAGCAUAGUCUGGAUGAACCUCCCCUAAGACACGCCUCUUUAUCUUUAAAGCACGCUCGUAGACACCACGAGCUUGUUCCAGUUUUCUUUGCGUUAGAUUUUACUUACUUCAGUAAUAAUUUUAUUGAGAUGAUCAAUAUUCUACUUUCUAAUAUAUUAGUAAAGGCUUGGUUUCAACAUGCCUGCUUGUGCUCUAAGGGUAAUUUUGUCAUUUUAAUUUAGCUGAUAUGCAUUAGGAAACGUGACACUCUUUAGCUCAACAAUAUGAUCAUUACAUUGAUUUGAGGAAUAUUCCUGAACUCUCAAUCAUCAGAGGAGAUCAGACGGGCAUUGAAGUCGGAGCAACUGUGACUAUCUCUAAAUUUAUUUCUUUUUUUAAAGAGGAAAGUAAAAUCAAUUUCGGUUCAUAUGGAAAGGUGGUAUCUGAAAAACUGGCUUACCACUUGGAGAAGAUUGCUUCACCAAUUGUUAGAAACUCUACUAAUGUGGGAAGAAAUUUGGUUAUGGCACAGAAGAAUAGUUUUCCUUCGGAUAUCGCUACAUUAUUUCUCGAGCUUUAUGCUACUGUUAGCUUGAUAACCAAUCAUGGAAUUGAAAAGUUCACAUGGGAGGAGUUAUUAUCGAGACCACCUCUAGGCUUGAGGACUGUGCUUCUAAGUAUUUGCAAACCAGUUAAGAAAGAUCAAAGUUCUGUCCAAACUCAUUCCAGAUUUUUGUUUGAUACCUAUCAAGCUGCUCCAUGAACUCGGGUGAAUGCAUCGGUGUAUGUAAAUGCUGCUUUCCAGGCUGAUGUUUCUCUCAGCCAGAACGACAUCCUGCUAAAUAAUAUCCGGCUGGCAUUCAGUGCUUAUGGCACUAAACAUGCAACAAGAGCUAAAAAGGUAAAGGAAUAUCUUACCGGGAAGAUAUAAAUGUGCAUAUUUUAUAUGAAGCACUUAAUUAGUCAAACUAGCCGUAGUACCGGAAGAUGACACUCUAAACUCUGAGUACAUAUCAAGCUUGGCCAUCGGUUAUGUUUUUGAGUUUCUUAAUCCCUUAACUAAUGUUCAUUCUUCUAUUUUUGGUGGUUUACUUGAUGGAAUUAAUGACAUCUCGGGCUGAGGAAGUUUCAGAAAGUAGUAAUAAUGGUUGCAUCAGUCAGGGUAGUAAACAAACACUACUAUCUUCUACUAAGCAGGUUGUGAAAUCGUAAACAAACACUACUAUCUUCUACUAAGCAGGUUGUGAAAUCAAGUACCAAGUACUAUCCAGUAGGUGAAUCAAUAAAGAAAGUUGAGCUGCCAUGCAAGCUGCUGGUUUGUUCUCGCCUUUUAGAUAUUUUAUUUAAUUUUGUGCCUGUUAACCAAUGUUUCUUAAUAUUCUUUCUGGCUUUGACACUGCCGGCUUUCUGACAUUUAAGCUAUGUUGCUCGGACUCUUCAAAAAUGUCAACAAGCACGUUUCAGAUCCUCCAAAAGUAGGGAUUGUUUGGAGGUAUCCAACAUGGGUUCAACAACACUUUUGGUGAAGCUGUUUUUUUAGAUGGCAUUCCUUCACCACUAAACUACCUGCAUGGAGCAAUUAAGUUAAGGAAUAGAGAUUAGAGGUGCAAAAUCCUCCUCUGGUAUGACUUACUCUAAUACAGUUUUUGAAAUUCCAAACAAAAUUUUUCCAGUAAUAUCUGCUCUUCCCCUUUCUCUAAAGGAAUAUAGUACUUCGGAAAAGAACUAUCUCAGUACACAUCACAUGCAUUAGGAAUCAGUUUUGGUAAUUUGCACAAGAAACUAUGAUGAUGUCUUUAAUUAUAUCUUUUGUCCAACUUUCUUUUCAUAUGCCAUUCGUUAAAUAUGUACUUCCUCCGUUUCAAAAAGAAUGACCUAUUUUGACUUGGCACAAAGUUUAAGAAAAUAAAGAAGACUUUUAAAUCUUGUGCCUUAAAUUAAAGUUCUGCCAAAUUUGCCAAAAUGUCAUUUAAUCUUGUGGUCCUAAACAUGUCAUGUGGUAAGUUGAAAUUAAAGUAUUGCCAAAAAAGAAAAGGGGUCAUUCUUUUUUAAACGGACUAAAAAGGAAAGUAGGUCAUUCUUUUUUAAACGGGGGGAGUAGUUUUUAUCAAAAGAUGAAGGAGAAAGAGUGAACUAUAUAGAUUUUUCAGAAUUGAUUCAGUAAGAUGAAAGCUAAAAAAUCUAAGUAGGGGUAAAGAUUCCCCAUCUCAUUGGGGAUGAAGAACGAAUACCAUCCUGAUGUAAUACAAUUAUUUUUAAGUUGUCGUAUCUGGCAGCGAACGAAGAAUAAGAAUAAGAGAGAUCAGCCCACAAGUAAGUAUAAUUUUCUGAUGCUCACAUUAUUUUUGCUUUUUUCGCCUAUUGGAGGUGAAUUUGCUUAAAGCAUGCGCUGUGCAAAAGAAAUUCUUUUUAAUUUCUCAAAAGAAUGGAAAGUUUCACUAGCAAUGUUUGCAACAUAAUUUCUUUUCCAAUUUUAUUUCGGAGACUAGGUUAAAACAACAACAACAAAAUCAGUAUAUCCCACAAAUGGACGCAGUCCAUACUAUUAUCUUAGAGGUGAGGUAGAAAUAUUGUUUUCGAAAGACCCACUGGCUCAAGACAAAAUAUUUUAUAGAAGAAUAUACUAUAAGAAUAAGACACAGCAAGUAGAAAGUAGAAACAAACAACAAAUAAUAACAAAUGAUUCCCUUGCUUGGAAAACCUUGAUCCAUCCCUUACAUGUUGUUGUGUUAAUCAGAUUAGUUAUGGAUAAGAUGAAUAAAAAAGGGGAGAGAAGAUCUCCCUGUCUCAAACCCGUUUGAGAGGGGAAAAACCAGUAGAUGCCCUGUUGAUUUGAGUAGAGAACCUCGCCAUAAUUAGAAAUGCUAGCAGUUACUUCUUCAUGUCCAUUUUAAAUGGCAUUUUAAGGUUUUGCACACCCUUUAAUAAAACCAGAUAAUAGCAUUAACUAUAAGGGGUUAUUUGACUAAGUUGCCCUUUAUAUCACUUCAAAUUACCCUUAUUCUCUUCCUAAACAUGUUAGGUCAUUUAUAGGAGCACAGGUUGAUUUGGUAGAGAGAGUUGAUGCCGUCUUGGUUUUCUUAAAUGGAUAUAUUUAAAGUCUACCAGAGUUAGUAGGGUCUUUGUUGAGUGUUUAUUAUUUGUUGUUGUACUAAUUUCUCUGUAGGUGUAGAAAAGAUCAAAUCUGUGUUGUAUUCUUUGUUCAGGUAGUUGCAAACUCAACUUUGGCCACUUUCUUGCGUGUUUUUGGAAGUGAACUGAUUCAGAAAUACUUGGGAGAUGGGCCUAAAUUGGUGAGGGAGCUCUUCAGAGUUGCAGAUGAUCUCUCACCUUAUAUCGUCUUCAGUGAUGAGAUUGGUGCAGUCGGUACCAAGAGGUUUGUGUCUGGCAUCAUUAACUUGAAGAUUGGAAUAUUGUGGAUUUCUGUUAAUUAACGUCUUCAUUUACACGUACGAUGCACAUUCUGGUGGUGAACGUGAGAUCCAGAGGACCAUGUUAUAUUUGUUGAACUAGCUAGAUGGUUUUGAUUCCAGAGGAGAUGUUCAGGUAAUUCUUUCUACAAAUAAAAUCUCAAGUCUUGAUCCUGCCUUUUUGCGACCUGGUAGAAUAGACAGGAAGAUUUAGUUUCCUCUUCAUGAUAUUAAAACAAGGAGGUGGAUUUUCCAGGUUUGGUAUUGUGAUGUAAACAAUUAUUGCCGACUGAUGAAUCCUGGAUUGCCUCCUAUUUGCUGACUUGAAAAUCUAUUUUAGGAUAUCAGAUACACACAGCAAGGAUGACUUUGGCUAAUAAUGUCAACCUAGAAUAAUUUUUUAUGACCAAGGAUGAAUUUCUGGAGCUGAUAUCAAGGAAAUAUGUACUGAAGCUUGAUUGCUCGCUCUAAGUGAACAACGUAUGAAGGUGACUCAAGCAGAUUUCAAGAAGGCGAAAGAUAAGGUGAUGUUCCAGA